AAAAAUCCUAUUUUCUUUGAACACCAAACCCAGAGAGGAAAACCUCGAUAGAGACCACUACCCAGAUCUUCCAUUCUUAUUGUUCGUACAGCUACCAUUGGCUGCAUUUCUGUUUUCUAUCUUGCAUCUUCUUUCUUUUCCACAGAAGAGUUCUUUUAUUCCAUCACUGGAGCAAGUAUACUGAGCAAAAGUGCUAAGAAUCAUAGAGAUUCUGAGAAGUAUUUGUAUUGAGGCAAUAGAAUUGACUGUCGUGAGAAGUACUGUGAGUCUUGUGAAGGCCUUGGCCACCUAGAGUCCAGCCUCAGGUGUGCUCUUGAGGAAGCAAUGUAUCUUCAGAGGUAUUAAUCAUGGUAAUCAUUCAAGUUCAUAGAGUGCAAGGAUCAGAAUAACCUUACUGCUAUUCUCUUAUUAUAUUCUUUUCUUCCUUCAAUGGCUGGCAAGAAGUUGAAGAUUGCUACAGAAAAGGACCAUCUAUAGAGUUGUAUGUGGUGGUAAGAUGCAGGUGUGGUCCAAGAUUAGUGCAGAGUGAGAAAGAUGUGGAUGAUAAAAGCAGUAGUUGGAAUGCAUACUAAUCUGCUGGUGCUUUUAAAUUUUCAAUGGGAGGUGGAUGGAAGAAGAAGAGAUGUUCUAUUGUUGUGGUUGUCCUAAUGAUUGCUUCUAAUGUUGCUUAAACUUUUCUUUUGGGGUGUGUGUGUGCGUGCGUGUGGAAGAUGGAGUGAUAAUUGUGAUAUUUUC